rnacentral:rRNA from 1 species
CCCAGACUCCUACGGGAGGCAGCAGUGGGGAAUCUUGCACAAUGGGGGAAACCCUGAUGCAGCGACGCCGCGUGAAGGACGAAGUAUUUCGGUACGUAAACUUCUAUCAGCAGGGAAGAAAAUGACGGUACCUGACCAAGAAGCCCCGGCUAACUACGUGCCAGCAGCCGCGGUAAUACGUAGGGGGCAAGCGUUAUCCGGAUUUACUGGGUGUAAAGGGAGCGUAGACGGCAGCACAAGUCUGGAGUGAAAUGCCGGGGCUUAACCCCGGAACUGCUUUGGAAACUGUGCAGCUAGAGUGCAGGAGAGGUAAGUGGAAUUCCUAGUGUAGCGGUGAAAUGCGUAGAUAUUAGGAGGAACACCAGUGGCGAAGGCGGCUUACUGGACGGUAACUGACGUUGAGGCUCGAAAGCGUGGGGAGCAAACAGGAUUAGAUACCCUCGUA